CCCAGUAACGGCGAGUGAAGCGGCAACAGCUCAAAUUUGAAAUCUGGCUCCCCCCUGGGGGGCCCGAGUUGUAAUUUGGAGAGGAUGCUUUGGGCGCGGCGCCUUCCGAGUUCCUUGGAACAGGACGCCAGAGAGGGUGAGAGCCCCGUACGGUCGGACGCCUAGCCCGUGCAAAGCUCCUUCGACGAGUCGAGUAGUUUGGGAAUGCUGCUCAAAAUGGGAGGUAAAUUUCUUCUAAAGCUAAAUACCGGCCAGAGACCGAUAGCGCACAAGUAGAGUGAUCGAAAGAUGAAAAGCACUUUGAAAAGAGGGUUAAACAGCACGUGAAAUUGUUGAAAGGGAAGCGCUUGUGGCCAGACGUGCGCCCCGCGGACCACCCGUCGCUCUGCGGCGGGGCACGCCGCGGCGGCGCAGGCCAGCAUCGGCUCUCCCAGGGGGACAAAGGCCGCGGGAACGUAGCUCCUUCGGGAGUGUUAUAGCCCGCGGCGUCAUACCUCUGGGGGGGCCGAGGACCGCGCCUUCGGGCAAGGAUGCUGGCGUAAUGGCCACCAGCGACCCGUCUUGAAACACGGACCAAGGAGUCAAGCAUUGGGGCGAGUGUUUGGGUGACAAACCCGCACGCGAAAUGAAAGUGAACGCAGGUGGGAGCCUCCGGGCGCACCACCGACCGAUCCUGAUGUUUUCGGAUGGAUUUGAGUAGGAGCCUUGCCG
rnacentral:rRNA from 1 species